ACGCUCGACACCUACGGGAGGCAGCAGUUGGGAAUAUUGGACAAUGGAGGAAACUCUGAUCCAGUGACGCCGCGUGAAGGAAGAAGGUCUUCGGAUUGUAAACUUAUUUUGUCAGGGAAAGAAAAAAUGACUGUACCUGAAGAAAAAGCACCGGCUAACUACGUGCCGCAGCCGCGGUAAUCUGAGCGGGCUGGCAAGGC
rnacentral:rRNA from 1 species